CCUACGGGUGACAGCAGUGAGGAAUAUUGGUCAAUGGGCUUACGCCUGAACCAGCCAAGUCGCGUGAGGGAAGACUGCCCUAUGGGUUGUAAACCUCUUUUGUCAGGGAGCAAUUUGCGCUACGUGUAGCGUUAUCGAGAGUCCCUGCAGACAAAGCCUGGGCUACCUCCGUCCCAGCAGCCGCGGUAAUACGGAGGAUGCGAGCGUUAUCCGGAUUUAUUGGGUUUAAGGGGUGCGUAGGCGGAAUGCCAAGUCAGCGGUAAAAUCGCGGGGCUCAACCUCGCUCCGCCGUUGAAACUGGCGGUCUUGAGUGGGCGAGAAGUAGGCGGAAUGCGUGGUGUAGCGGUGAAAUGCAUAGAUAUCACGCAGAACUCCGAUUGCGAAGGCAGCAUACCGGCGCCCAACUGACGCUGAAGCACGAAAGCGUGGGUAUCGAACAGGAUUAGAUACCCCUGUAGUC
rnacentral:rRNA from 1 species